rnacentral:rRNA from 1 species
AAAUCAUGCCAUGGGUGGUCAAUCCACAACAAGCAUUAAGCAAAGACACAAAAUACGAAAAUAGAACAUAAAUAUAUCAAAAGAAACAUGAGAGUUCAGAAUUGGCUACACUUACCCCUUACAACAAUUGAAAUCAACCACUCAUGGAGAUGAGCAACUCAAAUUACACUUGGAAAUGUAAGAAAUGGAUGAAAAACACAUGAACACUUGAGUUUUUCUCUCCUUAGUAGAACAAUACUAAACUUACAACUGACACAAUGAUGAUACAAAAGGAAAGGGGGAAUCAUAAUAUAUUCAUGAGUCAACCCUAAAAAUACAAAAGGUAGCAUUUCCAUUUUUAGUGCAGACUCACUCAGCCAUGGAUUUUUGUUGUCCAAGUUUAUCCUUUUUGAGUUUUAGUACUCCAAACUUGCUCUCAGAGAUACUUCUUCCAUUUAAGAUCUUUUAUCUACAAAACGAUACGAUAAAUUACUACAAAGUAGCCAAGAAAUCAAAAUAUUAUAAUAGAGUUUAUAAAAUAGUAAACUUUAGUGGAGGCCCGCAGUGAUAUUGGCGUGCAAACCAUUCGUCUGACUCGGGUAUAGGGGCGAAAAACUAAUCAAACCUUCUAGUAACUGGUUCCCUUUGAAGUUUCCCUUAUGAUAGUUAGAGCCCACAGGCGAGUUCUAUCGGGUAAAGCCAAUGAUUAAAGGCAUCAAGGGCACAAAUCCCUCGACCUAUUCUCAAACUUUAAAUAGGUAGGACGGCACGACUACUCUAUUCAGAAAUAUCACGAAAUUAAGAGCUCCAAGUGGGCCAUUUUUUGUAAGCAGAAUAGGCGAUGCGAGAUGAACCAUAAAUUAGGUUACAGUGCCCAACUGUGCGCUAACCUAGACCCCACAAAGUGUGUUGGUCGGUUAAGACCGCAUGAUGAUGGUCAUGGAAGUAGAAAUCCUCUAAGGAGUGUGUAAGAACUCAUCUACCAAAUUAACUAGCCCCGAAAAUGGAUGGCACUAAAGCGUGCGACAUAUACCCAGUCAUCGGGGCAAGGACCAAGCCCCGAUGAGUAGGAGGGUACGACUGUCGCUGCAAAACCCAGGGCGAGAGCCCAAGCAGAGUGGUCGUCGGUGUAGUCUUGGUGAUAGUAUAAAAUAUUCAAAUGAGAACUUUGAAGGUCGAAGAGGGGAUAGUUUCUAUGUGAAUGGCACUUGCACAUGGGUUAGUAGUUCCUAAGGGAUGGGGAAAGCCCGUCUGAUAGCACUUUGUGUGUGUACUUCGAAAAGGAAUUGGGUAAAAAUUCCUGAACCAAGACGUGGCAGCUGACGGCAAAAUUAAGGAGUUUGAAGACGUCGGUGAGGGCUCCGAAAAGAGUUAUCUUUUUUUUAACAGUCUGCCCAUCCUAGAAACAGCUCAGCCAAAGGUAGGGUUCAGCGACUGGAAUAGCACUGCAUGUCGCAUGGUGUCCAGUGCGCCCCCAACGGUCCUUGAAAAUCCAAGGACCAAGUGCCUCUCAUGCCCGGUCAUACUCAUAACCGCAUCAAGGCUCCAAGGUGAACAACCUUUGGUCGAUGGAACAAUGUAGGCAAGGGAAGUCGACAAAAUGGAUCCAUAACCUCAGGGGAAAAAUUGGCUCUAAAGGCUAGGCACGGGGGCCCUAGUCCCGAACCUGUCAACUUUCAGUGGACCGCUCAAGUUGCUUCCAUGGUGAGAGCGGGUUGUCACAUGCCGGUCGGGGGACGAAUUGGGAACGGCCCCUUCAGGGCCUCUUCCGAAGGCGUCAAACAGCCAACUCGGAGUUUAUUAUGUUCCCUGCGGAUGUUGACGCAAUGUGAUUUCUGCCCAAUGUUCUAAAUGUCAAAGUGAAGAAAUUCAACCAAACGCAGGUAAACGGGGAGAGUAACUAUGACUCUCUUAAGGUGGCCAAAUGUCAUGUCAUCUAAUUAGUAACAUGCGUGAAUGGAAAUGGCACGUGUCUGUGUGUGUGUGUGUGUAUGUGCUAUGGAAAUGGCAUUUGUGUGUGUGGACAUCAUCACCAUUCACCAUCAAAGAUUUUACUAUGGUAUUUGUUUUGUUUUGUAAUGCAUAUGCAAGGGAAAUCAUGAUGUAUUUAUGUUUAUUUGCUUUGUUUCUAAAUGUCAAAGUGAAGAAAUUCAACCAAACGCAGGUAAAGGGGGAGAGUAACUAUGACUCUCUUAAGGUGGCCAAAUGUCAUGUCAUCUAAUUAGUAACAUGCAUGAAUGGAAAUGGCACGUGUCUGUGUGUGUGUGUGUGUGUGUAUGUGUUAUGGAAAUGGCAUGUGUGUGUGUGGACAUCAUCACCAUUCACCAUCAAAGAUUUUACUAUGGUAUUUGUUUUGUUUUGUAAUGCAUAUGCAAGGGAAAUCAUGAUGUAUUUAUGUUUAUUUGCUUUGUUUUUAUUGUAGAGAUGAGUACUGCUACUAAUCAAGCAGCAGAACAAAAGGAUGAAACCAAACCUCUAUGGAGAUAUGUUUCAAAAUUUAGAAAGACUACUGGUGGUGGAAAUUUUGAGUUUAAAUGCAACAUAUGUGAAGUUUCAUUCAAUGGAUCUUACACUAAAGUAAGGGCUCACUUGCUGAAAAAUCUCAAGAAUAGGAGUUAGAGUUUGUUCAAAGAUGACUCCUUCAUGACUUGCUGAGUUUAAAAAGUUAGACAAUGAAGCAUCAUUGAAAAUACAUAAGUCACAAAAAAAAAUGUCCCUUUACCUCAGUCUCUAAUGAAGGCAAAGAGACAAACAUUGGUGCUAAUCCAAAAAUCAAAGGUCCUUUAGCAAAUUCUUUCAAUGUGCAAGGCAGAGAUAUUCUUGAUUGUGAAAUUGCAAGGAUGUUGUACUCUUUAGGUCUACCAUUUCAUUUGACAAGGAAUCCUUAUUAUAGGAAGGUGUUUUAUUAUGCUGCCAAAACUUCUAAUCUCAAUGGUUAUGUACCUCCAAGUUACAAUAAGCUGAGAACUA